rnacentral:sRNA from 1 species
UCUAUCUGCUGCGGACUGAUGAAGUGGAUAUGCGUGUCGAGGCCACCCGCCGUCACGAUGAGCCCCUCGCCCGCGAGCGCCUCCGUCGACGCGCCGACGACCAUGCCCGGCGUCACGCCGUCCAUGAUGUCCGGGUUGCCCGCCUUGCCGAUGCCCGCGAUUUUCCCGUCCUUUAUGCCGAUGUCUGCCUUCACGAUGCCCGUCACCGCGUCAACGAUCAGCGCAUUCGUGAUGACAAGAUCGAGCGCGCCGUUUUUCGAUGUCACCGGUGCCGACUGCCCCAUGCCGUCGCG